rnacentral:rRNA from 1 species
UACGUAGGGACCAAGCGUUGUUCGGAUUUACUGGGCGUAAAGGGCGCGUAGGCGGCAUGACAAGUCACUUGUGAAAUCUCUGGGCUUAACUCAGAACGGCCAAGUGAUACUGUCGCGCUAGAGUGCAGAAAGGGCAAUCGGAAUUCUUGGUGUAGCGGUGAAAUGCGUAGAUAUCAAGAGGAACACCUGAGGCGAAGGCGGGUUGCUAGGCUGACACUGACGCUGAGGCGCGAAAGCCAGGGGAGCAAACGGG